CAGGGAAUCUUCCGCAAUGGACGCAAGUCUGACGGAGCAACGCCGCGUGAGUGAAGAAGGAUUCCUGUUCGUUAAACUCUGUUGUUAGAGAAGAACAGCGUAUAGUGUAACUGUUAUGCGUGUGACGGUAUCUAACUAGAAAGCCACGGCUAACUACGUGCCAGCAGCCGCGGUUAUACGUUGGUGGCAAGCGUUGUCCGGAUUUAUUGGGCGUAAAGCGAGCGCAGGCGGUCAAUAAAGUCUGAUGUGAAAGCCCCCGGCUCAACCGGGGAGGGUCAUUGGAAACUGGUUGACUUGAGUGGAGAAGAGGAGAGUGAAAUUCCAUGUGUAGCGGUAAAAUGCGUAGAUAUAUGGAGGAACACCGGUGGCGAAGGCGACUCUCUGGUCUGUAAAUGACGCUGAGGCUCGAAAGCGGGGGUAGCAAACAGG
rnacentral:rRNA from 1 species